AACGAACGCUGGCGGCAUGCCUAACAUAUGCAAGUCGAACGAGACCUUCGGGUCUAGUGGCGCACGGGUGCGUAACGCGUGGGAACCUGCCCUUAGGUUCGGAAUAACUCCCCGAAAGGGGUGCUAAUACCGGAUAAUGUCUUCGGACCAAAGAUUUAUCGCCUUUGGAUGGGCCCGCGUUGGAUUAGCUAGUUGGUAGGGUAAAAGCCUACCAAGGCGGCGAUCCAUAGCUGGUCUGAGAGGAUGAUCAGCCACACUGGGACUGAGACACGGCCCAGACCCCUACGGAAGGGAGAAGUGGGGAAUAUGGGACAAGGGGCGAAAGCCGAAUCCAGCAAUGCCGGGGAAGUGGGGAAGGACUGAGGGUUGAAAAGCUCUUUUACCCGGGAUGAUAAGAAGGUACCCGGGAAAAAAGCCCCGGGUAAACCCGUG
rnacentral:rRNA from 1 species